UACGGAGGGGACUAGCGUUGUUCGGAAUUACUGGGCGUAAAGCGCACGUAGGCGGAUUUGUAAGUCAGGGGUGAAAUCCCGGGGCUCAACCUCGGAACUGCCUUUGAUACUGCAAAUCUCGAGUCCGGAAGAGGUGAGUGGAAUUCCUAGUGUAGAGGUGAAAUUCGUAGAUAUUAGGAAGAACACCAGUGGCGAAGGCGGACUCACUGGCCCGAGUACUGACGCUGAGGCGCGAAAGCGUGGGGAGCAAACAGG
rnacentral:rRNA from 1 species